GUCGUGAUUAGAUCGCACACGCAGAACUUUUGACCAAGUCAAGGGGGCAAUUGUUGUUUCCGUUCUAUACGGAUUUGCACAGCACCCACGGCCUACCCAUCAUCCCACCUUCGCAUGCCCAACGACACAGUUCAACUGUUUUCCACACACACACAGCUUAGAACAGAUCAGAGGAAGGACCCCACAUGGUAAUUCCCUGGGCAAGCGAACGAAGAUCCCUG